rnacentral:rRNA from 1 species
UACGAAGGGGGCUAGCGUUGCUCGGAAUCACUGGGCGUAAAGCGCACGUAGGCGGCUUUCUAAGUCAGGGGUGAAAUCCUGGAGCUCAACUCCAGAACUGCCUUUGAUACUGGAGAGCUCGAGUCCGGAAGAGGUGAGUGGAACUGCGAGUGUAGAGGUGAAAUUCGUAGAUAUUCGCAAGAACACCAGUGGCGAAGGCGGCUCACUGGCCCGGUACUGACGCUGAGGUGCGAAAGCGUGGGGAGCGAACAGG